CCUACGGGUGGCAGCAGUGAGGAAUAUUGGUCAAUGGGCGCGAGCCUGAACCAGCCAAGUAGCGUGAAGGAUGACUGCCCUACGGGUUGUCAACUUCUUUUAUCAAGGAAUAAAGUGAGGCACGUGUGCCUUUUUGUAUGUACUUUAUGAAAAAGGAUCGGCUAACUCCGUGCCAGCAGCCGCGGUAAUACGGAGGAUCCGAGCGUUCUCCGGGUUUAUUUGGGUUAAAGGGAGCGUAGAUGGGUUGUUAAGUCAGUUGUGAAAGUUUGCGGGUCAACCGUAAAAUUGCAAUUGAUACUGGCAGCCUUGAGUACAGUGGAGGUAGGCGGAAUGCGUGGUGUAGCGGUGAAAUGCUUAGAUAUCACGAAGAACUCCGAUUGCGAAGGCAGCCUACUAAACUGCCACUGACAUUGAUGCUCGAAAGUGUGGGUAUCAAACAGGAUUAGAUACCCGUGUAGUC
rnacentral:rRNA from 1 species